GGGAUUUCAUAAUGCUGACUUCACUA
rnacentral:piRNA from 1 species